rnacentral:rRNA from 1 species
GCAGCAGGCACGCAAAUUACCCACUCCCGGCACGGGGAGGUAGUGACAAAAAAUAACGAUACGGGACUCUAUUGAGGCCCCGUAAUCGGAAUGAGUACACUUUAAAUCCUUUAACAAGGAUCCAUUGGAGGGCAAGUCUGGUGCCAGCAGCCGCGGUAAUUCCAGCUCCAAUAGCGUAUAUUAAAGUUGUUGCGGUUAAAAAGCUCGUAGUUGGUUCUGCGUGCCGCGCUGUCGGUUCGCCGCCUGUCGGUGUAACUGGCAUGUCGCGGCAUGUCCUGUCGGUGGUGAACGGGGUCCCCGGUGCUGGCUAGGCUGCAUAGCCGAAGUUUGUGCCGUGUGUGUUCCCGUUUGCCGAUCUCUCCUACUUCGGUGCUCUUAAGUGAGUGUCGAAGUAGGCCGACACGUUCACUUUGAACAAAUUAGAGUGCUUAAAGCAGGCUGAAAUAUCUGCCUGAAUAGUGGUGCAUGGAAUGAUAAAACAGGACCUCAGUUCUAUUUUGUUGGUUUUAGGAAUAUGAGGUAAUGAUCAAUGUGGACUGGCGGGGGCAUUCGUAUUGCGACGUUAGAGGUGAAAUUCUUGGAUCGUCGCAAGACGCACUAGAGCGAAAGCAUUUGCCAAGUAUGUCUUAAUUGAUCAAGAACGAAAGUUAGAGGUUCGAAGGCGAUCAGAUACCGCCCUAGUUCUAACCAUAAACGAUGCCAGCCAGCGAUCCGCCGAUGUUCCUUUAAUGACUCGGCGGGGAGCUUCCACCCGGGAAACCAAAGCUUUUGGGUUCCGGGGGAAGUAUGGUUGCAAAGCUGAAACUUAAAGGAAUUGACGGAAGGGCACCACCAGGAGUGGAGCCUGCGGCUUAAUUUGACUCAACACGGGAAACCUCACCAGGCCAGGACAUUGGAAGGAUUGACAGAUUGAUAGCUCUUUCUUGAUUCAGUGGGUAGUGGUGCAUGGCCGUUC